rnacentral:rRNA from 1 species
UCCUACGGGGGGCAGCAGUGAGGAAUAUUGGUCAAUGGGCGGGAGCCUGAACCAGCCAAGCCGCGUGAAGGAAGAAGGCGCCAGGCGUCGUAAACUUCUUUUGUCGGGGGACAAAGGGCGCCACGUGUGGCGUUGUGAGUGUACCCGAAGAAAAAGCAUCGGCUAACUCCGUGCCAGCAGCCGCGGUAAUACGUAGGUGGCAAGCGUUGUCCGGAUUUACUGGGUGUAAAGGGCGUGUAGCCGGGCCGGCAAGUCAGAUGUGAAAUCCCAAGGCUCAACCUUGGAACUGCAUUUGAAACUGUUGG